rnacentral:rRNA from 1 species
UUCCGGUUGAUCCCGCCGGACCUGACUGCUAUCGGAUUGAUACUAAGCCAUGCGAGUCUUUGCAGUAAUGCAAGGCAUACGGCUCAGUAACACGUAGUCAACUUACCCUAUGGACGAGGAUAAUCUCGGGAAACUGAGCAUAAUACUCGAUAGAUCAUAAUGCCUGGAAUGGUUUAUGGUUAAAAUGAUUCGUCGCCAUAGGAUGGGACUGCGGCCUAUCAGCUUGUUGGUGAGGUAAUGGCCCACCAAGGCGAUUACAGGUACGGGCUCUGAGAGGAGAAGCCCGGAGAUGGGUACUGAGACAAGGACCCAGGCCCUAUGGGGCGCAGCAGGCGAGAAAACUUUGCAAUGUGCGAAAGCACGACAAGGUUAAUCCGAGUGAUUUCUGCUAAAGAAAUCUUUUGCAAGUCAUAAAACCACUAGUGAAUAAGGGGUGGGCAAGUUCUGGUGUCAGCCGCCGCGGUAAAACCAGCACCUCAAGUGGUCAGGAGGAUUAUUGGGCCUAAAGCAUCCGUAGCCGGCUCUGUAAGUUUUCGGUUAAAUCCAUGUGCUCAACGCAUGGGCUGCCGAAAAUACUGCAUAGCUAGGGAGUGGGAGAGGUAGACGGUACUCAGUAGGAAGGGGUAAAAUCCUUUGAUCUAUUGAUGACCACCUGUGGCGAAGGCGGUCUACCAGAACACGUUCGACGGUGAGGGAUGAAAGCUGGGGGAGCAAACCGGAUUAGAUACCCGGGUAGUCCCAGCUGUAAACGAUGCAGACUCGAUGAUGCAUUGGCAUAUAGCCAGUGCAGUGUCGCAGGGAAGCCGUUAAGUCUGCCGCCUGGGAAGUACGUACGCAAGUAUGAAACUUAAAGGAAUUGGCGGGGGAGCACCACAAGGGGUGAAGCCUGCGGUUCAAUUGGAUUCAACGCCGG